GGGGUGAAUAGUUUUGCAAGGCACUGUAGAUCAUUUUGGGCUACCCAGUAGAGUAAAUGUAAUUCAUGUUCAUCGGUUUUGUUGUACUGUCAAGUACAUGCUAAGGCUGGAUGCAAAGAUUUGUAGUUCCACUGAGGUUGACAGAGGUGCCUGUGUUCCUCAAAAGCCUAUGCAAAUUCCAAUGUUGGAGUAGCUACCACUUUAUUGCUAUACGUAAACAGCAAUGUUAAUAUCAUUUAUAUUAUAUUGUACAUUAAGUCAAAACAUGUACACAUUUCAGUCAAGUCAAAAGAUAAUCAAUAAUUCAGUAAAUAAACAGUUUAAUAAAUAAUAAGGAAUUACAUCAAUAAGUCAUGAAAUCAUAGCAGAAGAAUCUAAUCAGCUGCUCAUCAAAAGGCAUGCUGAAAAAAAUGUAUGAACACCACAGAAAAACGUAUAUUCGAUGGCUGGGUGGAGGUGGCGGUUGUGGUGACCAAUGCUGUGUACAGGGUUGACGAAGGGGCUGGUAACCAUGGCUGGGUACCGGAUCUAUAUAGGGGAGGAAGGACAAUCUGAGGCGCAAACAGACACACAAGGAAGAUCUGGAAGUCAACGGUGGCACUCCCUUGUGGCCUGCUCGCUCUGAGUGAAGGUCUGUGUCUCGUUUCGUGGUCUGGUACUGGAAACCGGGAACUGAGUUGAUGCUGGGACUGGUGCUGGAGAAAGUGCAAUGCAUCGGCGAGGCUGGACGCUGGAGGACAGAGGGAAUAAACAGGGCCUAGACCCACCUGGCCACCGAGCACUCACAAACAGUCAUUCAGGUGUCGGAGUGGUCCGUGGACUAGGGGAACAGCACCAGCCGCAGUCAAGCCACUGUCACUAGCACUGUCCCCUAGUCGGUUGAAAGAAAAUUAAAUUGAAGAGAGAGAAAAGAGUGUAGAGAGGAACACAAAAAUGUUGAGUUUAGAAACUUAAACAGUCAUUCUGAUUCACAUGCAAAAUGUCAAAACAUAUGAGAACAUUUCAUUUUUCUCUCGUGGCUAACUACCAGGAAGUUUGAAAAGACAGGCUGAGUGGGCGGGGAACUUAUAUUCAUCAGAUCACCUUGACUGACAGCUCUUUGAAAUGCCUAUGACAAGAAUAAUGGAUGUGGUGAGCAUAGUUGCAGUAAAAUCACCUCAAGCAACAUUGCAUCAAUGAUGUCAAUUAUUUUUUUAUACAUUUCCUGUUUGGCAUGUCUCUUGUUCAGCGGUUCACAGAUGCAAUGAUGGAUGUGUUGACAUGACAACUGCGUCAGAGUUUUAAACGACCCAUGCCCCCCUUUUGUUCUAUGCUGGCUGAAGACCUAGCUAGUCAGUAACUAGCUAACACCAGACACAGAUGAAAGGGGAGACGUAUACGUAUCUUUGCCUUGGAUAAAUAGUGUAGCAAAUGGCUUGGAGAUAAUAAGCUAUCUCUGCACUUAGGGAAAACUAAAGCAAUUAUUUUUGGACCAGACCUAAAUUGUGUAGGUCGUCUGAAAUCAGAGUGGAGUUAAGGGGUGAGGUGCUGACUACUAAAACCUCUGUUAGCUACUUGGGAUGUAUCCUUGAUGGAAGCUUGGGAGGUGUGAGCAUGGCCAAUAAGGUGCUAGGGAAGGUUAAUGCCAGGACUAAGUUUUUGGCUAGAAAGUCCAAGCUGCUUGAUAAGGACUCCAUGAAAGUGCUAGCUACUGCCCACAUUCAAUGACAUUUUGACUAUGCUAGUACUUACUGGUUUGGUGGCUUAUCUAAACUUAUGAAGGGGAAGCUCCAGAUAGCCCAGAAUAAGCUGAUCAGGGUAGUAUUGAAGGUGAGUCCACUUACUCACAUAGGCAGGAGCUGCUUCCAGGAACUAAACUGGCUGCAUGUUGAGGCUAGGGUGUCCCAGAUUAGACUAGGUUAGGUUUACAGGAGAAUUUAUGGUCCUGCGCCCAGAUAUCUAAGUGAUUACUUUCCUAGUGUUAGGGAAGCACACAAUCACAGCACCAGAUCAGGUGUUGCUGAUGUGUGCUUAAACAGGUUCAGGAGUAAUGCUGGGAAAGGUCGUUUCUUGAAUACUGGAGCCUCAGAAUGGAAUGAUUUCCCCCUGCCCAUAAAAACAACAUCCUCUCUGGGCAGCUUUAAAAAAUAAAGUAAAAAUAUGUUUGAUGUCUUCUGUGCCCAUAUGAAUAACCCCUAUGAUGUAACUGGAAUGAUGAGAUAGAUGUUCUUCUCUGUUUUUGUUUAAUUAUUUCACUUCCAUACUGUGUUCCAUCUGGUCUAGCCAUCUCGUCUCAAGAGGACCACAAUGGAAAUAAGUCCCAGACUUUGUUUGUUAUCCUCGAUCAUUUUAUUAAUGUGCAUGUAUGGCUUUUUCAAGUUUUAUGUGUGCUUGUUUUUUUUAAAUGGUAGCAUUAAUAAACUAAACUAAAACUUUUAAUACCUUGAGUAAUUAAUCUAUUUCCGAUACAAUUGGCUGGAAACCAUCAAUGCUUGAGGAAGGUUCAUUUCCCUUUCAGUACUUCUCAGAUGUUGGCAGUACUUAUUUAAAUUAGGUAAGAAAUUAUCAUGUUACCAUUGGUGUAUUAAAAUGAGAGUUAGGGUGAUGUCACCAUAUCCCCUCAAUAAUCCCCCCUCCUGAAUCCAAGUGUUUGACAUGGGAGAGGGGCACAGUAACUUUAUGAUCAAACUUGAUCAACAUACUGUAGAAGCAACAGUCAUUUUUCCUACUUUGAUUUGGUUCAUACAAAUAUCAUCCAAUUUACUGAAAAACAUGAUUUUGACUGUUUGUGUCCUUUAACAUUAUGAACAGGAAUUACAUUUACUCUCAC
rnacentral:lncRNA from 13 species